rnacentral:rRNA from 1 species
GAUGAACGCUGGCGGCGUGCUUAACACAUGCAAGUCGAACGGGAAACCUUUUAUUGAAGCUUCGGCAGAUUUAGCUGGUUUCUAGUGGCGGACGGGUGAGUAACGCGUGGGUAACCUGCCUUAUACAGGGGGAUAACAGUCAGAAAUGACUGCUAAUACCGCAUAAGCGCACAGAGCUGCAUGGCUCGGUGUGAAAAACUCCGGUGGUAUAAGAUGGACCCGCGUUGGAUUAGCUGGUUGGUGAGGUAACGGCCCACCAAGGCGACGAUCCAUAGCCGGCCUGAGAGGGUGAACGGCCACAUUGGGACUGAGACACGGCCCAGACUCCUACGGGAGGCAGCAGUGGGGAAUAUUGCACAAUGGGGGAAACCCUGAUGCAGCGACGCCGCGUGAAGGAAGAAGUAUCUCGGUAUGUAAACUUCUAUCAGCAGGGAAGAAAAUGACGGU